UCUGUCUCUUUGCCCUUUUUCCUCUUUUCAGCCGCUUCUCUGUUUUUCACGUGAAAACCCUUUUUACCAAAUGGGACCUUUUCUAAUUCCAACUUUUAUUCCAAUAAUAAUAAUAAUAAUAAUAAUCCAAUAAUAAUAAUCCCAAUAAUAUUCCAAUAAUUCCAAUUAUUUAAUUAAAUUAAUAAAUAUAAUAUUAACUUAAAUUAAAUAAUUAUCUUAUUUUUUUAUCGGG
rnacentral:lncRNA from 1 species